CUAACAAGGAUUCCCCUAGUAACGGCGAGUGAAGCGGGAAGAGCACAAAUUUUAAAUCUACCUGGCUUCCAGGUCGAGUUGUAAUUUGAAGAAGUGUUUUUUACUUUCCGGGUUGGGUUAAAUCCUUUGGGAUAAGGUAUCAUGGAGGGUGAGAAUCCCGUGUAUACCAACCGCAGGAUUGUUUAAUAUACACUUUCUAGGAGUCGAGUUGUUUGGGAAUGCAGCUCUAAAUGGGUGGUAAAUUUCACCUAAUGCUAAAUAUAAGCAAGAGACCGAUAGCGAACAAGUACCGUGAGGGAAAGAUGAAAAGAACUUUGAAAAGAGAGUUAAAUAGUACGUGAAAUUGUUGAAAGGGAAACGGUUGAAGUCAGUCAUGCCGGCGGGAAUCAACUUAGGGGAAACUCUGAGUGCACUUCUUCGCUUGGCAGGUUAGCGUCGAUUUUGGAUGUCAUAAAAUGACCGGGGGAAGGUAGCUCUUUCGGGAGUGUUAAGCCCUUGGUAGAUGUGAUGUCCGGGAUCGAGGAUUGCAACGGAUACCUUUUGGGCUAGCCGCCUAGUCUCUAAUACGAAGUUGGGUUAUGGACAGCACGCUGACUGUGAUCUGAUUUUCGGUUAAAAGAUUAGAGUGAGUGUAAAUUCGUUAAGGACGC
rnacentral:rRNA from 1 species